rnacentral:rRNA from 1 species
GGUAGGACUACCCGCUGAACUUAAGCAUAUCAAUAAGCGGAGGAAAAGAAACUAACAAGGAUUCCCCUAGUAACUGCGAGUGAAGCGGGAAAAGCUCAAAUUUAAAAUCUGGCGGUCUUCUGGCUGUC